rnacentral:tmRNA from 1 species
GCAAAAGAAUAAGUGCUAAAUCUAACCGCACUGAGUUCGCUCUCGCUGCCUGAUUUUUAGUCAGGAUUAACCAGUGAGCAGCCGCUCCGUUCACUCCUCUUCGUCUUUGGGAGGAUGCUGAGCGUCGUUAAGAAGACUUGCUGAUGGAGUUGAGCCUCAGGGCUCCAUCGGGACUUUUACUGCGGAUAUGCUCGCCAUCAGUUGUCUGCGACAGCGAUGGGGGCAGAAAAACCGCCAACUUGGCCAGCAGACUACGCACGUAGAAGACUGUGGGCUCGGUCAUCGGACCGGGGUUCGAUUCCCCGCGACUCCACCA